AUUGCUUAUUGACCUUUUGGCUAAGAUUGAGUGCAGUAUCUGUUCCUGUCAUUUUAAUAUCUGAUAUGUCCUCCAGCCAAUGAGAACAUAUUAAAUGGAAUUUUGAACAGGCAGUUGGAAUAGAAGCUUGUUACAUUCUACAUACUACUCACACUGACCUACUAUUGCAAUGCCUCUAGGAAUGGCGCAUUCCUU
ensembl:snRNA U2 U2 spliceosomal RNA